rnacentral:miRNA from 1 species
GACGUCGGUAUUCGACGUCAUAAACACGAUCAACUUUGGUGUUUAUGACGUCGAUAUUCGACGUCAUAAACACGAUCAAGUUUGGUGUUUAUGACGUCGAUAUUCGACGUCAUAAACACGAUCAACUUUGGUGUUUAUGACAUUGAUAUUCGACGUCAUAACCACGAACAAGUUUGGUGUUUAUGACGUCGGUAUUCGACGUCAUAAACACGAUCAACUUUGGUGUUUAUGACGUCGAUAUUCGACGUC